ensembl:lncRNA
AUGCUGAUGACAUCCUGCACCUUUGCUGAAGUCGUGCACUGCUUACUCAAGGACCAUUCUUUUCCAUUCCAUUCCGUUUUGUUCUGUUCCAUUCCAUUCCAUUCUGUUCCAUUCCAUUUUCAUUUCAUUCUAUUCCAUUCCAUUUUCAUUUCAUUCUAUUCCAUUCCAUUCCGUUCCAUUUCUGUUCAGUUCCGUUCCAUUCUGUUCCAUUCCAUUCCAUUUCAUUCCAAUUCUGUUCCAUUCCAUUCCAUUUCUGUUCCAUUCCAUUCUGUUCUGUUCCAUUCUGUUCUGUUCCAUUCUGUUCCAUUCCUUUCCAUUCGGUUCCUUUCUGUUCCAUUCCAUUCCGUUCCAUUCCAUUUCUGUUCCAUUCCAUUCUGUUCCAUUCUGUUCCAUUCCAUUCUGUUCCAUUUUGUUCUGUUCCUUUCUGUUCCAUUCCAUUCCAUUCUGUUCCUUUCCGUUCUGUUCCAUUCCGUUUCAUUCCAUUCUGUUCUGUUCCUUUCCAUUCUGUUCCAUGCCAUUCCAUUCUGUUCUGUUCCGUUCCUUUCCAUUCCAUUCCAUUCUGUUCCAUUCUGUUCUGUUCCAUUCCAUUCUGUUCCAUUCCUUUCCAUUCCAUUCCAUUCCAUUCCAUUCCAUUCCAUUCCAUUCUGUUCUGUUCCAUUCCUUUCUGUUCCAUUCCAUUCUGUUCCUUUCUGUUCCAUUCCAUUCCAUUCCAUUCCAUUUCUGUUCCGUUCUGUUCCAUUCCGUUGCAUUCCAUUCCAUUCCAUUCCGUUCUGUUCUGUUCCUUUCUAUUCCAUUCUAUUCGGUUCUGUUCCAUUCCAAAGGCUUAGGAGCACAGAUAAAGAAACGAAGGGCCAGCCACAGUCCCAGAGGGCUUGGGAUGAAACAUGCCACCGUCUCCAGGCAGAGGCGAUGGACUCGGAGAGCUGAUGUCCGGAUCUACCUCAGACGGGACUGACGUGUUUGCACUGGGGUUGUUUUUCCGGCCUUGUCGCAGGAGCUGGGAGGGGGGAAUUGAGACCGGAAAAGAUUUCUUUUAAAAGAAGGGAGUUGGAAGGCACGAUCACGGCAAGGAGCCAAGUCUUAAGCACUCCGGUGGAUCUGUGCUCUUAUCGCAGUUCAGAACUUGCCUGCAAUGAUGCAGAGUAGGACCAGCCCCUGCCUUGUCCUCUGGCCGGUUCCGCUCCGUGGGCUUCCCCCCAGUGGAACGGGUGACACCCGCCUGUUGUCCCGCAGUCUGGCCCUCUUGACAAUGCCUCGAUCCUAGCUUUUUCUGCCAUUAUUAUGACCGUUGUUUUGGUGCUUCAUAGAUGUUAGCUUCAGGAUGGCUUCUCGUGGGGGCCUCUCAGGCAGGCUCACAAUCACUUCACUGUCCGAACACCAGAGGCUUUUGCCACUCGUGUCGGACCCUCGCUGGUUCUGUGGGCAGCCCUGCAGAGGACUCCGUGGCUCACUCUUGGAGGAGUGGAUUUCGUGAGACGCUCAUCCGGGGCAAGUCAGAGCCGCUAUUGCCCAAAGGCAGCAGCUGGCUGUCGUCGGGCUCCGCGUCCUCUCUGAGCGCUGUCUGAGCUCUGCUUUCCCUGAGAGCUUGGAGGGUGGCUGCGCUCUAAGGCGGGGAAUCGACUUUUCUUGGCCACUCAGCCUCGGAGGUCUUCCAGCAGGGCUCUGGGUGCGUGCAAUGGGCCCAGGGGAUCCCUCCUCUCCCUGGGGUGCUCUCGGGGCUCCGUGCCUCCGUGCGCUACAUCUGGCUCCCUGCUCUGCGUCCAGAAGGGCACGGGCCAGGCCAUUUCUGCUGACGCAUCUUCCCAGGAAUCUGGAAGUGACUCGGAUGACCAGGAGAUGCUUUGUGAAGAGCCAGCAAGUGGCCACACACAGGAGGCUCCGAGGGAUCUCAUGGCAGGAAAGCACGGUUGGAGGAUGCCCCCAGGCU